UAAUUGCCUUAAUCUUCUCUUUAGCACUUUGGUGGAUAGAGCACUUGUGUGUAUGUGAGAACCAAGCCUAUAGCUUCUCCAGCCUCUAACACCCUUGAAAUGGCCGAGCAAUGGGGUAUAUAUAGAACCAACCUCUAAAACAAACUGUUGCUCCAACAAUCACCAAAAAUAGUGAUCACCGUAUCAUUUGGUGCAUGCAUAAGAACUUCUAGAGCCAAAUUUGAGCCGAGCCGAUCACACCGAUCAUACUAUGUUUCCAUUGUCUCUACUGUGAUCACUGCAUUGCGGUUUGAAGAUCCUCGAUUUGUUGCCGAUCUUGUUAUGGAUAUGGCCACAUCUUCCGUUUUUGCUGGGCCAAAUUAGCUGUCAGCAAAUCUUUCCAUCCCAAAGCUAGCCCAUCUGAUACAGUCCCGCCGUUACCCCGCAACCAAGGGACUUUUACUCCCUUGCCUACCAAGAUUCUUGCCCCUUCAACUUCCUCGGAAAACCCUCCCCCCGCACCUCGCCUUCCUCUGUUGUCACCUCCCACACCCCUGCUUCCAUGGCAAAUUUUGCUCUUGAUCCCCACCCCCAC
rnacentral:lncRNA from 1 species